rnacentral:rRNA from 1 species
UACGUAGGGAGCAAGCGUUGUUCGGAGUUAUUGGGCGUAAAGCGCGCGCAGGCGGCUUCGCGCGUCCGACGUGAAAGCCCCCGGCUCAACCGGGGAGGGUCGUUGGGUACGGCGGAGCUUGAGGGCGGUAGAGGUUGGUGGAAUUCCCGGUGUAGUGGUGAAAUGCGUAGAGAUCGGGAGGAACACCUGUGGCGAAGGCGGCCAACUGGGCCGACCCUGACGCUGAGGCGCGAAGGCGUGGGGAGCGAACGGG